AUGUCGCUCAAAGGCUACCACGAAGCCUCGCUGCAUCCGCCGGCCGCGUACGAUGCGGCGGCGCCGGAGGAGUGGGAGUGGGACUGGGGGGAAGCCCUCCUCGACAGAUCCGCCUACAUGGUCGACAAGAAAGACCACCAGAAAAACCAUACCUCCGCCUGCCAUCGAUUCCGGAGGAACCUGCGCGGCAGGGAGGUGAAGGUGGAGAUGCAGGUGAGCCUGUUCAUGGCGCCGCCGCCUCGCGUCUCCUACUUCUGCUGCUCCGCUAACCGCACCGACGACGCCGACGACGAGCACCGGGAACAAGAAGACGCCCCCCGCCUGUUCGUCCGCGAGCCUUGGAUGAUCGCCACGGCGGGCGACCUUGCCCUCCUCACCCUCUGCCACGGCCACAACCGUGCCUUCUACGGCGAAAACAGCAACUACGACUACUUCCUCUACCAGGCAGCAGCCUCGCCGGCGGGGUCGCCGGAGCUCACCCGGCUCCCGCGGCCCCAACCCGACAUGCUGCCAGCUUUUGGAACUCGCUGCUUCCCUACCGGCAGUAUCGGUGUCUUGCGUUACCACAGCAACAGCCCCAAGGAUGAUGCCUGUGAUGCCUACAGGAUCGCGGCGCUCGCCUACGACCCUUUCCACCCCGGCCAUUCCGGAUACUACCUGUGCACCUACGACUCCAAGGACCCUCGGUGGAGACGCACGCCCACUGCCUCUCCACAGCCACCGCCGCCUGACGACUUUGUGUCCAGCAAGGUCCACGCCGAACCCAGCCCGCGCUCGCAAACGCCUAGCGGCUGGACGGUGGUCACGUGGACCUUGGAGGGGCUCAAUGGCGGUCUGGACGCCAUGUUUUUCCGGCAGGAGCACGAGAUCCAUUCUGGAGAUAUCCACGGCUACAACCUGCCCCAGUCUCUCUUUGUUUCCAACCCCAUCCUCAGCUCCCACAGUGAUGGCGUCCUCUACCUCUUGACCAAUGCCAGCAGCGAAAACACCAACACCAGGACGUCGAAGGUGAUUGCUCUUGACCUCAACCAGAAGACGCUGCUGGACGUGCAGGAAUUCGACAUGCAAAGACCCAGCUCCUACAUGGCCACCAGCAUCUCCAGCUAUCUCAUGCCAGCUGCUGCAGGUAUGAGUCUUGGUAAUCUGUACUGUGAUCCUCUAAUGGUUCAUGGAGGCCAGAAGAUCACAGCGAGGCAGCGAUGGACACCAACCCAGAUGCAGCUGCAGAUCCUCGAGAUCGUUUUCAACCAAGGAAAUGGAACACCAAGCAAGCAGAAGAUAAAAGACAUCACAGCGGAGCUCUCGCAGCAUGGCCAGAUCUCGGAGACCAACGUCUACAACUGGUUCCAAAACAGACGUGCACGCUCGAAGCGGAAGCAAGCAGCUUCUUCUCUACCAAAUAACGCUGAAUCCGAAGCCGAGGGGGAUGAGGAGUCCCUGACCGACAAGAAGCCUAGAUCAGAUGGGUCACAGCAGCAGAACAUGGCUGUGAGAGCUCACAACCCUGAGAGGAUCUCAGAGAUGCACCGCCACUUCGACGCAGCAGAGCGUGAGCAGGUCCGUGGUCCAAUGAUGUAUGGGUCCAGCAACGACACCUCAAGGUCGUAG
rnacentral:rRNA from 1 species